CCGGCUAUAGAGCUGGUGUGUGGUACAUCAGCCAAUCCGCUUCCAUCCUCCGUGUGAAGGUAGGCCACGGUCAAUCGGUGCCCAAUCCACUCGUUCCCUCUUUCUCGACCCUGCUCGCUCCAUUUCUCCCUCUCCCUCUCCCUCUAUAGGGUUUUCUCAUUUUAGCACGCUGCUUGAAUUAGGGGCAGCCAUUCUAGUUGAUUACGCAGCUGGGAGGUGGUAGCAAUGGUAAUAGUAGAAUGCUACCUUUUAGGCCGUUGAUUCGAAAGCGGAAGGUUGAUAGAUUUGAAUUUGGAGGUUUUGGAUUUAGGGGUUUCCGGAUUUGGGGGUUUUCGGAUUGAUAUUGGGAGUGGAGAUGGGAUGCAGCGACUGGGUUACCGGAUUUAAUGGUGUGGGUUGUCGGAAUUAAUGGUGUUGGGGUCUUACGAGAGAAUGGAGCAAAGGCUUCUCACGGAUGGAGACUCUUCAUGUAACAGGAUGCAUUGCUCAAGAAACUUCUUGAUGAUGAGUUCUUCUGGAGGAAGGUUUACCUCUUUGGCUGCACAGGGCCACCAAUGGACAAUCUCUUUUCUUCCAUCCUUGUCAGUUUUUUCAACUCUUUCCACCACUGAAUCCCUAUAAAGUUUGGCCAAUUUCCCAAUGCAAAGGGAAGCCCCAUGUGAGAAGACAGAAGCUUUCCAUGCUUGCAUCCAAAGACAGUGCCAUGCUCAAGAUUGUCUUUAGCAUGGUCAAGGCACACCUGUUUUAGGAUGCAUUGCCCAAGAAACUUCUUGAUGAUGAGUUCUUCUGGAAGACGGUUUACCUCUUUGGCUGCACAGAACCUCAAUUGGUUUUCUUCAAAAAUGGUGAAGGGAAAGUGAUAUGUAUCCCUGUCGUGGUGGUGGUAUGUUCACUCAUUGGCAUUAUCUUUUGUGUUACAUCUCUCAAGUUAAUAUAAGGUGUCUCAAAUUGAUUGUGAAAUUCACAUGCUAUAUCAAAUGAUCAAUUUUAAAAAUUGAUUUAGCUAGAUUGUUCGGUUCAUGCUCAAGUGCUCAAGUGCAACUGAAUAUUCUGUAUUGAGAUAUCGUUGAUACGUGUCGCAUGUAUUAAUGAUAUUCAGGAAUAUUUGUGAAUGGGUAGUGCAAUAUUUUGAGAUAUAUCAAUGUAUGGCUGCAACACUAAGUAUGGCUAAUAUCCCCUAAAAAAAAUUUUAAAAAAAAAAAGAGAAAAAAAAAGAAGCAAUUGUCUAUAUUGGAAAAUGCUUUUUUAUCUUCAUUGAUAUAUAGAGGACGUGGUAAUAUAUACUUCACAGUAUGCGUAUAGAUGGCUAACUUACCCGGUCCAAGAUGCAUGGGUCGAUACACUUGAACAUUUUUAAUCAGGUUGAUAUUCUCGUGAGCAUUGUUUGGAUAACAGGGAAAAGGUUUGAUGACAAUUUUCAUCGAUUUGAUCUAAGAAUACUCGAAUAUUAGAAGCUGUUUUAUAUUGACAAAAGUUAACAAAACUUGUAUUUUUCUUUGAUUUUAUAUCCAAGUUUCUAAUUCCUCUUUUUUCUUCUUUUGUAUUUGUAUGGUACAGUUCACUAUUCUUUUGCUGGCAAGACAUCUUGUCUCUAUACUUGUUGGUGGAACAAACCAUUAUGCAUUCACACUUCUCACUGAUUUACUUCUUUUUUUUUGUUGAUUUUGUCUAUUUUCUGAGUAGUUGUUGAAUAGCCUUGCAAUUCUUUUUGUUGAUGCCUUCCGAAAUAAUACCGAUAGUUCUCUUUGGGAGUUUGUUAUGGCCCAUUACUGGCAGAUUUUUCUCUAGGUUUUCUUCAAAUUGAGCCCACCUGAUGCACAUGUCAGACUUCCCAUGCAAGUGGUAGGCCAGUAGUGUGGCGUAUGAGGUGCACGUGGGCUUAACAAGCUGCUUUAGUAGAACCUGCAUUAGAGAUACAGGACAAGAUUUUAUUUAUCAUUAAUAAUAUUUUAGCUUCAAAUAUGGAUGUGAAAGUAAGAGAAUUUACUGAUGUCCUUAAAGAGCAGUACUAUCCAUG